ensembl:lncRNA
CCGGGGGUUCGAAUUCAGGGAGGGCAACAAAAAUCAUUUAUUAUGGGCCGGCUGAACUAGGAUUGCCUGGUUUCUUGUUCAGAUAGGAAUUCUUUAGAAGAUUAGGCAGCUAUUUGUUGGAUCGCUGUAACGUGGCACUGCCUUCAAGAUAAAUUCCAUAUAAUUUUGUAUCACAAUAUUUGAGGAGAAAAGGUGUGUCGGGAAGCACUGUGCUAAAGGAUGAUGAUUUGCAUUUGAUGCAGCCACCUCAACUCCUUUCAGGGUCACCUGCUGUAUCACAGCCCAGGAGGGAGUCUCCCCUCAAUCAUGUCGCACUAAAGAAUGCCUGCCGGAAACUUGUGAAUGGAAAUGAGAAGAAAAGAGGGAGUCGUAGUGAUGAGAGGAGAGAGACUCAGUCCAUGUCUCCAGCCAGAAGAAGACGCAGUCGCAGUGUUUCUUCUCCUUCACGCUCAGUCUCUCCUGUCAACCGCCAGAAAAUGAAUCGCAGGGACCGAGAGAGAGAGAGGGAGAAUGAGCGGGAGCAUCGCCGAGAAUGUGACCGGGAGCGAGACCGGGAAAGAGGAAGGAGACUUGAAUAUUCGCAUAGAAGAUAGCUGUUGUCAGGGAACAGCGUUGACAUUUAAGGACCUAUGGAAAAGCACAUCUAAGACCAAAUGCAAACAAGAACUGUACAUGUUUUUUUAUUUUUCCCAGUGUUUUCACUUUUGUAUAUUGCAUUAUGACAUUUUGGUAAACUAUGCUCGAAAAUCAUAGUCCAAACCCUUUUUCUGAACUUUAUUAUUUUUUUUAAAUAAAAAUGCUUGUUUUAUUAAUGGC